rnacentral:rRNA from 1 species
CCGUACGGGAGGCAGCAGGUGGGGUAAUUUUGGACAAUGGGCGAAAGCCUGAUCCAGCCAUGCCGCGUGCAGGAUGAAGGCCUUCGGGUUGUAAACUGCUUUUGUACGGAACGAAAAGCCUCUUUCUAAUAAAGAGGGGUCAUGACGGUACCGUAAGAAUAAGCACCGGCUAACUACGUGCCAGCAGCCGCGGUAAUACGUAGGGUGCGAGCGUUAAUCGGAAUUACUGGGCGUAAAGCGUGCGCAGGCGGUUAUAUAAGACAGUUGUGAAAUCCCCGGGCUCAACCUGGGAACUGCAUCUGUGACUGUAUAGCUAGAGUACGGUAGAGGGGGAUGGAAUUCCGCGUGUAGCAGUGAAAUGCGUAGAUAUGCGGAGGAACACCGAUGGCGAAGGCAAUCCCCUGGACCUGUACUGGCGCUCAUGCACGAAAGCGUGGGGAGCAAACAGGAUUAGAUACCCCUGGUAGUCCACGCCCUAAACGAUGUCAACUGGUUNUUGGGAAAUUCACUUUCUCAGUAACGAAGCUAACGCGUGAAGUUUGACCCGCCUUGGGGGAGGUACGGUCCGGCGAGUUAGUUAACGUACAAUUAGAAGUUAGAGGCGNGAGAGNGCGACGGACGACACGAGGGAGGAGG